rnacentral:rRNA from 1 species
AAAGGGUGCGUAGGCUGCGCAGUAAGUUGGGUGUGAAAUACCUCGGCUCAACCGAGGAACUGCGCCCAAAACUACUGUGCUUGAGGAAGAUAGAGGUAAGCGGAACUUACGGUGGAGCGGUGAAAUGCGUUGAUAUCGUAAGGAACACCUGUGGCGAAAGCGGCUUACUGGGUCUUUUCUGACGCUGAUGCACGAAAGCUAGGGGAGCAAACGGGAUUAGAUACCCUGGUAGUCCACACCCUAAACGAUGGAUACUAGGCGUAAGGGGUAUCGACCCCCCUUGUGCCGCAGCUAACGCACUAAGUAUCCCGCCUGGGGAGUACGGCCGCAAGGUUGAAACUCAAAUGAAUUGACGGGGACCCGCACAAGCGGUGGAGCAUGUGGAUUAAUUCGAUACUAACCGAAGAACCUUACCCAGGUUUGACAUCGAUCGAAAGCUCUAGAGAUAGGGCCUUCCUCCCAAAAGGAGGACGUGAAGACACUUGUUGCAUGGCUGUCGUCAGCUCGUGCCGUGAGGUGUACGGUUAAGUCCGCCAACGAGCGCAACCCUCGUCCUGUGUUACCAGCAUGAAAGAUGGGAACUCACAGGAGACCGCCGGUGUAAGCCGGAGGAAGGUGAGGAUGACGUCAAGUCAGCAUGGCAGUUACGCCUGGGGCUUCACACAUGCUACAAUGGGCGAAACAAAGGGCAGCGAUACCGCGAGGUGGAGCCAAUCCCAAAAAUACGUCCCCAGUUCAGAUUGCAGUCUGCAACUCGACUGCAUGAAGGCGGAAUCGCUAGUAAACG